AUAAUACUCCAUAGAUUAGAGACACUGGAAUGUUCUUUGGUCGAAAGUUCUGGCGCCUUAGGAUGGAUCUGCGGUCGAUUAGGUUGUUGUUGGGGUAACGGCCCAACAAGCCUGUAAUCGAUACGGGUUGUGGGAGCAAGAGCCCGGAGAUGGAAUCUGAGACACGAUUCCAGGCCCUACGGGGCGCAGCAGGCGCGAAAACUUUACAAUGCAGGAAACUGUGAUAAGGGAACUCCGAGUGCCCGUAUACGCGGGCUGUCCAGGUGUUUAAAAAUCAUCUGAAGAAAGGGCCGGGCAAGACCGGUGCCAGCCGCCGCGGUAAUACCGGCGGCUCGAGUGGUGGCCACUAUUAUUGGGCUUAAAGCGUCCGUAGCUGGACCGAUAAGUCUCUUGGGAAAUCCGCCGGCUCAACCGGCGGGCGUCUAAGGGAUACUGUUAGUCUAGGGACCGGGAGAGGUGAGAGGUACUCCGGGGGUAGGAGUGAAAUCCUGUAAUCCCCGGGGGACCACCGAUGGCGAAGGCAUCUCACCAGAACGGCUCCGACAGUGAGGGACGAAAGCUGGGGGAGCGAACCGGAUUAGAUACCCGGGUAGUCCCAGCCGUAAACUAUGCGCGUUAGGUGU
rnacentral:rRNA from 1 species